rnacentral:misc_RNA from 1 species
GCAGUGACAGGUGCCAAAACUGUUCAUAUUUAUACUUAGUUUGGACAGUGGUCCUUCCUGAUCAAAGACAAAUAUCUAAUUGAGGGGAGGAAAAGGGAGUCGAUGACAGAGAAAAAGGAACUAAGAACUAUAGGACUCAUAUAUCCAAAUCUGGCCUCACUCUUUCAAAUCUCAAAAUAAGGCUCUCCUACCACGCAGUAAAAACUAAACACCACACAACCCUAACAGCAAUCAGCAUGUAUGAUAGAAGAUGAAUGCACAGGGGUCAUUUUCUUCUCAUUCAAGAGUUUUAUGCUUUUUUACAAAAAUUUAAGCUUUAUUUAAAUUUUUGCCUUAAGCUUAAAGUUUGCAUAAAACAUUUCACUCGGUAAUACAAUUUCCCUCAGCUAUUUGAUGUUAUUUUUAUUUAAUUACAGUAGCAGCUGUUCCAUCCUGUCAGUGAUUAAUGUAUGGCCAUAAACACAAAAAAAUACAUAAAGGAACAAACA